AUCCCAACUCAUUAACAUUUAAUUUUUCCCUAUUUUCUGUCUGUGUUUGUCAUUGAAUAUUAAAAGUUUUGCUUUUUUUUACUAUUUCACCUCUUUUCUAGGUAGUCCAUAAUUUUAAAACAAUAUAUAUGGCACCACUUGGUCUUCACAGCUUUCAAGACAGGACUGUCAAGGCAAGGACACUCCUUAGGGGACCCUGUCCCAUAAAGUCAAAUUAUGCGGGAUGAGUCAGUGACGCAGGAGCUAAAAACAGUGUCCCUUUAAAAAUGUGCAUGCCUUUCAAAUGGAAUAAGUAAAGUACUUGCAGAUGCAAAUGGUUUCAAGUUUCACUGGAGACCCAGCGAGAGCGGCUAUUCUCAAAGUUGCCAGGCAGUGUGGAAACGCCCGCUGAGGGGCACACAGUGAGGCGGCCACUGGCUCUGUGUCCUUGGGGAAGCCCCUUCUGCGGUCCCCUCCAUUGUCUGCGUGACAAAGUGGACGUAGAACUCCCCCAUUUCCUGCCCAGGGCGGGUGAGGACCCUGCACACACACGGUGUGUUUGUGAGCUGUGCAGAGUGGGGUCUCCCUGGCAAUGGCCACAGCCUCCAGGGGCGCUGACACCUCCCGUCUAACUGGUAGACAGUUUCUGCCUCUUCUUGUUUGGGGAUUGGAGAGGGAAGUGCGUCUGGAUGACUACUAAGAUGAGGAGGCUAAGGCCUAGUGCUCCCAGGGGGCUUGGUCAAGAGCAGGAGGCAGAGGUGGUGGAAGGCUGUUUCCCUGCGGGCAGAUGAGCCUCGUCCGAUCAGUUCACAGCUUGAGAGAAAAAGACUGGUCUCCCCAGAAGGACGUCUGCAGCUCUUCCCAGCGUCCCCAGCCUGUCCACCUGCCGCAGUCAGUCAUGGCCUUGCCCUCCUCCACAGUCACGUGAGCCCAUUCCUUAAAACAAAUCUCCCAGCCAGGCGCGGUGGCUCACGCCUGUAGUCCCAGCACUUUGGGAGGCCGAGGCGGGCAGAUCACAAGGUCAGGAGAUCGAGACCAUCCUGGCUAACACAGUGAAACCCCGUCUCUACUAAAAAUACAAAAAAAAAUUAGCCGGGCGUGGUGGCAGGCACCUGCAGUCCCAGCUACUUGGGAGGCUGAGGCAGGAGAAUGGCGUGAACCCGUGAGGUGGAGCUUGCAGUGAGCCGAGAUCACACCACUGCACUCCAGCCUGGGCGACAGAGCGAGACUCCAUCUCAAAAAAACAAACACAUACACACACACACACACACAAAUAAAACAAAACAAAAACAAA